ACUCCUACGGGAGGCAGCAGUGGGGAAUAUUGGACAAUGGGCAACCCGUAGCAUCCAGCCAUGCCGCGCUGUGUGAAGAAGGCCUUUUGGUUGUAAGCACUUUAAGCAGGGAGGAGAGGCUAAUGGUUAAUACCCAUUAGAUUAGACGUUACCUGCAGAAUAAGCACCGGCUAACUCUGUGCCAGCAGCCGCGGUAAUACAGAGGGUGCGAGCGUUAAUCGGAAUUACUGGGCGUAAAGCGAGUGUAGGUGGCUCAUUAAGUCACAUGUG
rnacentral:rRNA from 1 species